rnacentral:lncRNA from 1 species
AAUCCCUUGGUUCCCUCCUGAAUCUCGGGGACUGACAAAAAAAAAAGAACGACACUUUUGGGGCUCAAGAAAAACUACUCCCUCAAUUCAGCACACUCUCGGUUCUCUCCCUGACACAGGGACAAGAAACAAAAACAGACAAGAAAAAAAAAAAAAACUCUCUCGGCUCUUUCUCUGGUCUCUCAACCGAAAAAAAGAAAAAAAAAGAAUAACGCCUCUCCUUCUCUCGGCUCUCAUCUCUCCCAAUAUUUUUCCAACACAUUUUGCACACAACAAGGCAGCAACCGGUUGGAUAAUUGGAGCUUUGCAUCAGAAACUUCAACCAAGCGAUUGCCACCUACAUUGAGGUAAUUUUUAGUUUUGUUUAGCACAUUAAAUCCAUGCUUCAUUGUUUAAUUUUCUUUUGCUUUUGCUGGUUUCCUUGGUUGUUGGGUUGCUAAUUUUUGGGACAAUUCAUGCACAGAACUAAGAAAAAAAGAAACGGGCCCAUGAAUGCAUGUCAAGUGUUUGUGAAAAUGCCAAAAUGGAAAAAAUGAAUUUUAGGGGCUGUUUUGCUUUAUUCUAGUCUCUUUAUGUUGUUUUCUUGUCAAAUUAAAGUCAUAGUAAUAUUUUAUAAGUUGUAAGGAGUGUUAUGGUAUCAUUUUUGGUGAAAGAUAGGGUGAUUUGAAAAAAAUAAAAACUGGACUGUAUUUUGACAUUUUGGCCACUUUUGGGUCAUCUUUUGUAAAAACUAAAUCCGGAAAUGGAACCUACGCGAAAAAUCGAGUGAGGGGGUGUAUUUUGAGGAUUUUUGGUAACCGGAGAGGUCACCGGCGGUAGCGGUCGGCGGCUGCGGCGCCACCGGCGACCACCAUGGCCGCCAGCUGAAGCUUCAGCUCGCCUGGGAAGAAGAAGAGACGGAACGAACGGGGAAGAAAGAAAAGAAAGAAGAAGAAGAAAAAAAAAAAGAAAGAAAAGAAAAGAAAGAAAACGGUUUGGGCUAAUGUUUUUUCUUCGGUUGGGCCAGGAGUUAGUUUUGGUUGGGUUUUGGAAAUGGGCUUUGGUUUAUUUUUUCUUUUGGGUUUCGGAUGGGUUAGGAGGCUGGAGCCCAUGCAUUUCUGGGUCGGGUUUGAGUGAUAAAAUGACGGGCUGGCCUGCUCGUUUCUAUGGAUUUUCUGUUGGGCUUAGGUAGUUUUUGGCCCAAAGAAAUAAAUAAUGGCCCAAUGGCCUUUUUCUCCCCAAUCAGAAAUCAAAUUUUGCACUUUAGCCCCUGAUCUCUGGAGUAGUUCACUUCGGCCCAGAAUAUUUUAAAUUCCUUUCACUUAGGUACUUAAUUUAAUUGCACUUUGGUCCUUGAAUUUUAUCUUUCAUUUAAUUUUGACCCUUAAACUUUGGAAAAAUAUAACUUCUGUCCCUAAAAGUUUUCAAUCUUUGCAAUUCAGUCCCUGAUGAAUUUUGACUCUCUUUAUUAUGAUUGUUUCUUUUCUUUAAUAACUAAUUAUGUUAUUUUUGAACAUAUUCAACUUGCAAUUUUUAGAUGUUCUUAAAUUUCUUUGCGUUUGACAUGUUAAUGUGAAUUUAGUA